rnacentral:rRNA from 1 species
UACGUAGGGUGCGAGCGUUGUCCGGAAUUAUUGGGCGUAAAGAGCUCGUAGGCGGUUUGUCGCGUCGACUGUGAAAACCCGAGGCUUAACCUCGGGCCUGCAGUCGAUACGGGCAGACUAGAGUUCGGUAGGGGAGACUGGAAUUCCUGGUGUAGCGGUGAAAUGCGCAGAUAUCAGGAAGAACACCAAUGGCGAAGGCAGCUCUCUGGGACGGUACUGACGCUGAGACGCGAAAGCGUGGGGAGCGAACAGG